rnacentral:rRNA from 1 species
UACGUAGGGUGCAAGCGUUGUCCGGAAUUAUUGGGCGUAAAGAGCUCGUAGGCGGUUUGUUGCGUCGGAUGUGAAAUCCCCAGGCUUAACCUGGGAACUGCAUCCGAUACUGGAUGGCUUGAAUUCGGGAGAGGGAUGCAGAAUUCCAGGUGUAGCGGUGAAAUGCGCAGAUAUCAGGAGGAACACCGGUGGCGAAGGCGGUUCUCUGGGCAUGACCUGACGCUGAGGAGCGAAAGUGUGGGGAGCGAACAGG